rnacentral:rRNA from 1 species
CCUACGGGAGGCAGCAGUGAGGAAUAUUGGUCAAUGGACGAGAGGCUGAACCAGCCAAGUAGCGUGAAGGAUGACUGCCCUAUGGGUUGUAAACUUCUUUUAUGUGGGAAUAAAAUGUUCCACGUGUGGGAGUUUGUAGGUAACGUAUGAAUAAGGAUCGGCUAACUCCGUGCCAGCAGCCGCGGUAAUACGGAGGAUCCGAGCGUUAUCCGGAUUUAUUGGGUUUAAAGGGAGCGUAGGUGGGUUUUUAAGUCAGUGGUGAAAGUUUGCGGCUCAACCGUGAAAUUGCAGUUGAAACUGGCAGUCUUGAGUGCGGGAAAGGUAGGCGGAAUUCGUGGUGUAGCGGUGAAAUGCUUAGAUAUCACGAAGAACUCCGAUUGCGAAGGCAGCUCGCUGGACUGCAACUGACGCUGAGGCUCGAAAGUGUGGGUAUCGAACAGGAUUAGAUACCCGAGUAGUC